rnacentral:rRNA from 1 species
UACGAAGGGGGCUAGCGUUGCUCGGAAUCACUGGGCGUAAAGGGCGCGUAGGCGGCGUUUUUAAGUCGGGGGGUGAAAGCCUGUGGCUCAACCACAGAAUGGCCUCGAUACUGGGACGCUUGAGUAUGGUAGAGGUUGGUGGAACUGCGAGUGUAGAGGUGAAAUUCGUAGAUAUUCGCAAGAACACCAGUGGCGAAGGCGGCUCACUGGCCCGAUACUGACGCUGAGGCACGAAAGCGUGGGGGAGCAAACAGG